rnacentral:rRNA from 1 species
AUGAACGUUGGCGGCGUGGAUCAGGCAUGCAAGUCGAACGAAUCCCACCUGGGUAACUGGGUGGGGGAAGUGGCGAAAGGGGCAGUAAGGCGUGGAUAACCUGCCCCGGACUUCGGGAUAGCCCCUCUAACGAGGGGGUAAUACCGAACGCCGUAGCGGGGGGGCAUCCUCUUGCUACGAAAGCUCCGGCGGUCCGGGAGGGGUUCACGUGGUAUUAGCUAGUUGGUGGGGUUACGGCCCACCAAGGCCAAGAUGCCUAGCAGGUGUGAGAGCACGACCUGCGCCACUGGCACUGGGACACUGGCCAGACUCCUACGGGAGGCUGCAGUCGAGGAUCUUCGGCAAUGGGCGAAAGCCUGACCGAGCGACGCCGCGUGUGCGAUGAAGGCCUUCGGGUUGUAAAGCACUGUCGUGGGGGAGAAAGCCCGCAAGGGUUGAUCGACCCCAGGAGGAAGCACGGGCUAAGUUCGUGCCAGCAGCCGCGGUAAGACGAACCGUGCGAACGUUAUUCGGAAUCACUGGGCUUAAAGGGCGCGUAGGCGGGCGGCCGAGUCCGGGGUGAAAGCCCCCAGCUCAACUGGGGAAGUGCCUCGGAUACUGGUCGCCUCGAGGGAGAUAGGGGCGUGCGGAACUUCCGGUGGAGCGGUGAAAUGCGUAGAUAUCGGAAGGAACACCGGUGGCGAAAGCGGCGCGCUGGAUCUCUUCUGACGCUGAGGCGCGAAAGCCAGGGGAGCGAACGGGAUUAGAUACCCCGGUAGUCCUGGCCCUAAACGUUGGGUACUAGGUUGUGGGCUUACGUGGGCUCACAGCCGAAGCAAAAGUGUUAAGUACCCCGCCUGGGGAGUAUGGUCGCAAGGCUGAAACUCAAAGGAAUUGACGGGGGCUCACACAAGUGGUGGAGCAUGUGGCUUAAUUCGAGGCUACGCGAAGAACCUUAUCCUGGGCUUGACAUGUGCGAAAGCGGUAGGCAGUAGCGGGCGGAAACGUUCCGCGGACCCCGCAAGGGGGGACCUACCACAGGUGCUGCAUGGCUGUCGUCAGCUCGUGUCGUGAGAUGUCGGGUUAAGUCCCAUAACGAGCGAAACCCCUGUCUCCAGUUGCCAGCGGGUCAUGCCGGGGACUCUGGAGAGACUGCCGGUGUUAAACCGGAGGAAGGUGGGGAUGACGUCAAGUCCUCAUGGCCUUUAUGCCCAGGGCUGCACACGUGCUACAAUGGCACGCACAGAGGGCAGCGAGCGCGCGAGCGCGAGCCAAUCCCAAAAAACGUGCCCCAGUUCAGAUCGAAGGCUGCAACUCGCCUUCGUGAAGUUGGAAUCGCUAGUAAUCGCGGGUCAGCAACACCGCGGUGAAUGUGUUCCUGAGCCUUGUACACACCGCCCGUCAAGCCACGAAAGAUCGGGGGGGGCCAAGUCGCCGCGCCAACCCGCAAGGGGAGCAAGCGCCUAACCCUCAACGGUCAAUUGGGACU